GGGCUGCAGUGGGGAAUUUUGGACAAUGGGGGCAACCCUGAUCCAGCCAUGCCGCGUGAGUGAAGAAGGCCUUCGGGUUGUAAAGCUCUUUCAGCCGGAAAGAAAUCGCUACUCCUAAUACGAGUGGUGGAUGACGGUACCGGAAGAAGAAGCACCGGCUAACUACGUGCCAGCAGCCGCGGUAAUACGUAGGGUGCGAGCGUUAAUCGGAAUUACUGGGCGUAAAGCGUGCGCAGGCGGUUUUGUAAGACAGAUGUGAAAUCCCCGGGCUCAACCUGGGAACUGCAUUUGUGACUGCAAGGCUAGAGUAUGGCAGAGGGGGGUAGAAUUCCACGUGUAGCAGUGAAAUGCGUAGAGAUGUGGAGGAAUACCGAUGGCGAAGGCAGCCCCCUGGGUCAAUACUGACGCUCAUGCACGAAAGCGUGGGGAGCAAACAGGAUUAGAUACCCCAGUAGUC
rnacentral:rRNA from 1 species